GUGAAUCAUCGAAUUUUUGAACGCAAAUUGCGCUUCCUGGCAUCCCGGGAAGUAUGCCUGUUUGAGGGUCAGUAUUAACAAAAUAUCGGUUUGGUUGCAAAUUGUGACGUUUCGGGCGUUUGGGCUAUCUUAACUUUUUUGGUUAUGGGGCGUAAAAUUGACCUUUUUUGGGCAUUUUUAGACGUAUAUAAUUUUUUUUUUUUUCUUCUAUUCUUAAUGCCAA
rnacentral:misc_RNA from 1 species